rnacentral:lncRNA from 1 species
GCUGCGCACUUCGGUCUUUUACGUCGGCCUUCGCGAGCGUCUGGGCGGGUGGUAGGUGAGUGGGUAUUGCGGGCUAGUAUCCGAGCAAAAGAUGGUGGCGCAGGCCGAGUUAAGAGCUUUAAUCCUGUGAAGACAUCUUAGUGAAGAGUUUAGAGUGCUGAGAGUUGAAAGCUUGCACGUGGGAAACGUGCGGCCGGACUGCCACAUGUACUGAGGUUGAGUCGUGACGGCCACAGGCUCCGAGUUUUGGCGUGAGGAACCGCUGAUCGGCCACGGGCGCCGAACUUGCUGGCCUCCGGCAUGUGCCUGAGCGGCGGCGGAAAAACCACCUUAAUUGGGGCGGAGGGUUAGUUUUAACAGCAAAGGGCCUUUACUAAAAUGGCGAAGGCCUUCCGUCGGCGUUGUUUUAAAAUGGGAAGCCUCGACCCUGUAUUGAAACUGAGCUGUUCGAAGGCGGCGUUGUGUGCAAUUCGGAUUAAUGAAGGGGAAGGGUUUUGUGUGGAAAAACGCCUUGGAGUGUGACAUUUCUGCGAGAAUGCUUAAAUACCGAUUUCCCGCAGGAACAAUGGCGCUGUCUUCAGUGGCACAGUGGAGCAGCUCUGAAGAUGCAAAGAUACACGAAAAAACUUCCAGAACAUCUGGGAGAAUAUUUAAUGGAAAAUCGCUUGGUUAAAACCUGACACUUUUAACAGUGAGGGUCGCUGUCUGCCCAUUGAUAGAGGCCAGAUUGUCUUGGAAGUUCCAAAGUUGCAACGAUUUCUUUAGUUGAAUCCAUGGACAUGAAACCCACAGAUAUAGAGGGUUGGCCCGGUGCAGUGGCUCACGCCUGUAAUCCCAGCACUUUGGGAGGCCAAGGCGGGUGGAUCACCUGAGGUCAGAAGCUUGAGACCAGCCUGGCCAACAUGGGUACUGCUUUCUCUUGCUGCAGCUUGCUUCCUCCCUCAGGUAUGAAGUUAAGGUAACAUGAAGGAGGAUAUUGAAUGUUCCUAACACAAAGAAAUGAUAAAUGUUUGAGAUGGUGGAUGUACUAAUUGCCCUGAUCUGAUGACUAUACAUUAUAUAUAUUGAAACAUCAGUAUGUACCCCAUGAAUAUGUACAAUUAUAUGUCAACUUAAACACAUUUAAAAGUAAAAAAAAAAAAAUCCAAAACACGCAAGGAACU